rnacentral:tRNA from 2 species
UAAGAUUCUAAAUUAAACUACCCUCUG